GAUGAAGAACGCAGUGAAAUGCGAUAAGUAAUGUGAAUUGCAGAAUUCAGUGAAUCAUCGAAUCUUUGAACGCACAUUGCGCCCGCCAGCACUCUGGCGGGCAUGCCUGUUCGAGCGUCAUUUCAACCAUCAAGCCCCCAGGGGCUUGUGCUGGGGCCCUGCGGCUGCCCGCAGGCCCUGAAAACCAGUGGCGGGCUCGCUAGUCACACCGAGCGCAGUAGCACAUCUCGCUCAGGGCGUGCGGCGGGCUCCUGCCGUGAAACCCCCCACUGUAACCCCAAAGGUUGACCUCGGAUCAGGUAGGAAUACCCGCUGAACUUAAGCAUAUCAAUAAGCGGAGGA
rnacentral:misc_RNA from 1 species